rfam:Myotis davidii contig132715, whole genome shotgun sequence.
GGCAGUUCUCAGGUGAUGCACCCCGGAAUCAGGCUUCCUCCUCUCUGGUUCCGGGUGCAUCAUCCAAGAACCACA